rnacentral:rRNA from 1 species
UACGGAGGAUGCGAGCGUUAUCCGGAUUUAUUGGGUUUAAAGGGUGCGCAGGCGGGAUUUUAAGUCAGCGGUGAAAUUUUCAGGCUCAACCUGAACACUGCCGUUGAAACUGGGAUUCUUGAGUAUGGAUGAAGUAGGCGGAAUUCGUUGUGUAGCGGUGACAUGCUUAGAUAUAACGAGGAACUCCGAUUGCGUAGGCAGCUUACUAAGCCAUAACUGACGCUCAAGCACGAAAGCGUGGGGAUCAAACAGGAUUAGAUACCCGCGUAGU